AAGUAUGACUCUAACUCUACCUUAGAAUUAGUUUCCUAUGCUAGAAAGAAAAAAUAAAGAAUGGCUAUGAGACUAGCACAAUCAGGUAAUCCACAUACAUGAUAAAAAAGCAUUCCUGCCCAUUUGGUACUUAUCCCUUGGCAUUGAAAGAAGACAGACAUAGUGGAAAUGCUCCUAGAUGUUAGAAGGUUCCCUCGUCACCUGAUCCUCUCAACUCAUACUAC
rnacentral:lncRNA from 1 species